rnacentral:rRNA from 1 species
GACGAACGCUGGCGGCGCGCUUAACACAUGCAAGUCGAACGGAAAGGCCUGCUUUCCCUUGUGGUUUGCGGGUACUCGAGUGGCGAACGGGUGAGUAACACGUGAGUGAUCUGCCCCCAACUUGGGUAUAAGCCUGGGAAACUGGGUCUAAUUCCCGAUAGGACUGCAGGGUGGUGCCUGUGGUGGAAAACGAUUUUCUAGUGGUUGGGGAUGAGCUCGCGGCCUAUCAGCUUGUUGGUGGGGUAAUGGCCUACCAAGGCGGCGACGGGUAGCCGGCCUGGGAGGGUGGACGGCCACAUUGGGACUGAGAUACGGCCCAGACGCCUACGGGAGGCAGCAGUGGGGAAGAUUGCACAAUGGGCGGAAGCCUGAUGCAGCGAGGCCGCGUGGGGGAUGACGGCCUUCGGGUGGUAAACUCCUUUCGACCGCGAGGAAGCCACCUGGUUGGAAGGGUGGUGACGGUAGUGGUAGAAGAAGCACCGGCUAACUACGUG